GAGAAAAAAAUUGAUGACUUGCAGAAGAAAUGGAAAAUGGAAGCGGUAACCAUGAAAUUGGUACUAGGGUUUUAAAGGGGGUCCGUUAUUAUUUCACCAAGCUCCAAAAAGGAACAAGAAAUAGGAAAUUGGAGGAAAUGGGUUUGCAAUUAAAGAAUAAAGUCGAUUCCUUGGAAGCAAAAGAGAGUGAUUAACAGAAUGAUGGAGGAACAGAGGGUUGCACAAGUUGAAUUGGCGAAGCAGAGGUGCAAGUGCGUCAUUGAUAGCAUUGACAAGUUACCUUGUUCCACCAACAUCACUCACUCGUGCAGGCGAACCCUCCUCAAAUUGGCACGUGCCGAGCUCGCUUUCCUCUCUCGCCCCUCUUCUUCUUCUUCUGCACCCCUCAGUGUCAACAUCGGGCACCUCGAAACAGUUGUACAUAUUCUCCAGCAGCCUUUCAUAACUGGUGUUUCUCGAGUUUGCAAGUCAGUCCCACUCUCACCAUCAGUUAGUAGUGAGGAGAGACGUGGUUCUUCUCUUAAACACAUCCAUGUUGACGUGGUUUGUACCCUCAACAGGAAGCCUGUCUGGAUUAUAGCAUCUGAUAGAAAUCCAGAGUACAUUUCUUGGAAUAGAUGCCGUAAAAGUAAGGGUUUAAAGCAACGCAUUCAAGAAGUCCUUGCUGCAGCUCAAUCUAACUUAACAUUAAGACCUUCCUCAGUUAUUCUUUUCUUUGCCAAUGGACUUGCUACCAACAUUUACAACAAACUUCAAGAUGAGUUUGGGGCAUCUGAAAUCGGCUUGGAUUUCUCAGUUUUCAGUUCUGAUGUGUUGGAAGAAACUGAAGGUGACUGGAUAAAUGUUAUUGCAAGAUCAUAUAGAAAUGCAUGUGUUCUUGAAAUCAACCCUGCCGAUGGCAAGCAUGUUGUUCCAAAUUCUGGAUGUGGUGUUCAAGGUUCAACUGUGGACUCUUCCCAACUAAAGCUUUCAGUAGGAAAAGCUGAAACUCAACCACAACUAUUGGAAGAAAAUGCCAGAAGUGGGGACUCCUUUCAUAUUGAGCUUUCAGUAGAUGAAGCCAAAACUCAAACACAACCUACCAAAGAGAAUGUCAGAACAAACUUGGGUGAUACAUUUUGUUCCAUUCUUAUGGGAAUUAAACCAAGUUCAACAGAGAAUAAAAUGUCUGAAUCUGCUUCUGGGAAUCUUUUUGGUGAGACUGAUCUGGUAAAUUUUGAUACAACAGCUUUGAUAGCUCUUGUAUCGGGAAUUAGUAAUGGUGGAACAGAGCAACUUUUGGCCACUCCAGAGAGUGAAAUGAGGCAGCGGUUUAAGGGAAACUUUGAUUUUGUGAUUGGUCAAAUAAUGUCUGAAAUUCAAAACCCAAUCCAUACGGAAUUUGGUAGAUUCCUACAGGGUAAGACUGGCCUAAUUUGUGAUAGUGUUCUUAUGGAAUUUAAGGAGUUAGUAUCAAUGUGUGGUGGGCCCAGUGAGAAACUGAGAGCUGUCAGGUUGAUAAAUUGUCUCAGGGUUGUUCCUGAUACUCCUUCAGAACGUAUGAUGGGCCUCCCAACAACUAGAAAGCUGGCAUUGAAAAACAAGGUUGUAUUUGGCACCGGUGAUCAUUGGCAUGCCCCAACUUUAACUGCAAAUAUGGCGUUUGUCAGAGCAGUCUCACAGACGGGGAUGUCCCUUUCUACUAUUGAGCAUAGACCAAGAGCCUUAACUGGUGAUUAGUGACAUACAUUCAUGAAAACAUGUAUUGAGGCAUUCAUUCACACUCCACAAUUUCUGAAGAGUCAAGUCAUAUGGGCUACGACUUUUUGUAUUUGAUGCUUCAAUCAUCACAUCCUUUUUACCUUGGUGCUUUAGCAGUGUCAAUGUUACUUGUCAAAUGGAAUCAUCAUAUUUAAUUCCGGAAGCAGCAAGGUUUAAUUGAAUAGUCACCAAGAAAAAUUGGGAAGAUUUAAAGGAUUCCUGCAGUUGCUGUGAAUAUAAUGAUCAGGAACAAGCAAGCAUAGUGUCCAACGCAUGCACUUUUAAAUGCAGCCUCUUUUUGGUAGUGUUGAAUGUAUUGUUAACACAGCACAUAGUAAUGAUCUUGAGGACCCUUUUCUGAUCUUGAGGACCUGGAGCUACCAAUGGAGCUCUUUGGUGGUGGUGGUGCUUCCACCUCACAGGUUGGAUGCCAAGUCUAUUUUCUGAGCUGCCAUGAAUACAAGCAUACUGAGUGCUCUUAUUAUCUCAUCUUUUAUGAUGGCUACACCCCUUGUGUUUGGUUCAAGUGAACAAUGAGUGAGAAUAAUAUAAUGUUACUGCUCUGAGCAAAGACAAAAUGGCAUAGCAUAUUAUUAUUAGCAUAACCAAUAUCGUCGUUUACAAGAUGCAACUAUCUCCAAUGUGCAAUGAUAACUAGGCAAAAUAGUUUCUACAUUCUCCGGGGAAUUGAUUUCUUCGAUGACUUUCUCUUUUUUCUUUUUGAAAAAAUAAAACGCAGGUGUUAUCUUGGCAUGUGGAUGACACAACGAAGACACUUUCCUUCCUUCAUGAGAUUGAAAGCUUUGUUAAUGUCAUCAAAUGGCAAAUUGUGUGUUAUGUAGUCAUCAAUCUGGAUUUCCUGCGUA